rnacentral:rRNA from 1 species
AGAGUUUGAUCAUGGCUCAGAACGAACGCUGGCGGCAUGCCUAAAACAUGCAAGUCGAACGGGUGUAGCAAUACACCAGUGGCAGACGGGUGCGUAACACGUGGGAACCUGCCCAGAGGUUCGGAAUAGCUGCGGGAAACUGCAGGUAAUACCGAAUGUCGCCUGAGGGCUAAAGGAGCAAUCCGCCUUUGGAGGGGCCCGCGUCCGAUUAGCUAGUUGGUGAGGUAACGGCUCACCAAGGCUACGAUCGGUAGCUGGUCUGAGAGGAUGACCAGCCACACUGGAACUGAGAUACGGUCCAGACUCCUACGGGAGGCAGCAGUUGGGAAUAUUGGACAAUGGGGGAAACCCUGAUCCAGCAAUGCCGCGUGGGUGAUGAAGGCCUUCGGGUUGUAAAGCCCUUUUGGCGGGGACGAUGAUGACGGUACCCGCAGAAUAAGCCCCGGCUAACUUCGUGCCAGCCGCCGCGGUAAUAC